AACGGCCGUACCAUGCUGAAUAUACCGGUUCUCGUUAGAUCACCGAAGUCAAGCAGCAUUGGGCGCGGUCAGUACUUGGGUGGGUGACCACCUGGGAACACCGCGUGCCGUU
rnacentral:rRNA from 1 species